CUCAGAAAUACAACCAGCUUGUUCACCCUUUUUGCAAACCUCUUUUCAGGCUUGGACAACCUGGCUGCGACAGUGGAACCCUCCUAAAAAACGGGUGCCAAGAGACAUUAACUGGUGUUGUGGGAACAGAAUUGGGAAUCAGUUCAGAGCUCCAGUUACCUUACAUGAACUUUUAGAAUCCAAUCUCACGUUGAUUCACAAGCUACUGCCUACUCCCAUUGGGAUGAACCUUACUUUGGUAAAGCAACUAUUACUUCAUCAAGAUCUAAUAGAGAUCCUAGGAAAAAUCAAGGAGAAUGGACAGAAAACUCUGUCCUGAAGACUCCACGACGACACCAUGGAACCCUGCUGAUGAAGAUCUUUCGAGGGCAAUCGUCAGUCACGGGGUGGUGUAAGAGCCCGUCUGAAGCCCCUCAUUUUCCCAUUCUGCCUUCCGAUUGCCACGAGAAAGAAUCCCUUCCUCCACUGCAGUUCCGGCUUAGAACAGGACACAGUGCAGGUGCAACCACUGAACCGUCAUGCUAGCUGUUCCGAACAAGGCCUGGCAAGAACUCGGCAAGGACUUGGCAAAGACCUGACGUGGACCCAGCACGGGACAGCGUGAUGCGCGGCCUGCUUCUAAUCUCCGUUCUUAAGCCAAAUGAACUUUUGGGGUGACU